UGGGAACGUACCCUUUGGUUCGGAACAACCCAGGGAAACUUGGGCUAACACCGGAUACGUCCGUAAGGAGAAAGAUUUAUCGCCAAAGGAUCGGCCCGCGCCUGAUUAGCUUGUUGGUGAGGUAACGGCUCACCAAGGCUACGAUCAGUAGCUGGUCUGAGAGGAUGAUCAGCCACACUGGGACUGAGACACGGCCCAGACUCCUACGGGAGGCAG
rnacentral:rRNA from 1 species